UAACAUUUUGUCUGCACAAAACUACUGUUGCUGUAUAGUUAUAAAUAAGCCCUAGUAACAUUUUGUGUUAGAGCAUAUAGAUUGUAUGAAAUGAAGCAGCCCUUUGGAGAAGCUGCCCUUCUUAGUGUAUGAGAAAAACAACUGUUACUGUUUACACUCUUCAAUCAAGGUGCUAGAGAAGAUACUACAAAAAGACAGUUCCUUUUCCAAAUUACUGGGACUGAAAGAGCUUACAAAGAUGCACAAAGAAGUGUAAAUGUGCCAUCUGCAUUUUACAGGUACAUAAAUUGAGGCAUAGGAUGGAAGAGUACAUGUGAUAGACCUGARUAGAGACAAACCUGAUAUGGAUAGCUGGUGGCUUUGAAGACAUUAUGUCCAUUUU